GGUAAAGAAAAAUAUCAGAGGAAGAAAAAAAAAUUCUAUUCGAAGAAACCAAUAAGAUGCAAAGGAUCGAAUUUUUUCUUUAGGCUACGAUUUGUGCCAGUCCUACACGUCCUGUAACUAUUUGCUCGAAGAUAUUCAACGAGUCCGGAUGCCACUCACCUGCGAGGAAUACUUCGAUCGCUUGGAAAGGUAGAGAGAGAAAAUCUGUCCUUAUU
rnacentral:lncRNA from 1 species